CAGGGCCGCCGCCUCGGCCCGGGCGGGCGCCUGCCCUCGGGGCUGCGGGGCGCCGCCUGCCCUCGGGACCGCGGUGUGUCUCUCCGACAGGCUUUCUGUUUUCCCCGCAGGAGUCCGUCUAACCCGAAAGCGUUUCCGCGGCUUGUGGAACAGCGGAGGGCUUUGAGAAGCGCGGCGUGUCAGGCGGGAGCCGUGUCUGGAAAGCUGCUGGAGGGGGCUGUAAUCCCCGCGGCGGCGGGGCCUGGCGGAGCGUAGGAACGCAAAGAACAGAGAGAGACAUCCCGUGCAAAAGCCUGAGUGACACAUCGGGCUGUGAAACAGCUUGGGCAGAGGCGUGAGCAGAACAGUGCGUAAGCAACACAUCCCCCAGCGAGAUCAGGAAUAUUCAAACCAACAUCAACUUCAGAACAGAGGAGCUGAGUCUGAUUAUCAGAACACACAAGAUAGUUUUGAACAAAUGCUUACCAACCUAACAAUAUGUUUCCAGUUCCACAUACAAUAUGGUCAGUUCCUAGAGUUUUAUGUCAUUUUUAAAAUAUUCUCAGGAGUGUUUUCAUGCCCAAUGUUAAUUUACACCAGUGUUCUUCAUACCAGUUUCUAUCAUUACGUGUAUCAGCAAGACCCUCCUGCUGUUUUGAAGCUACACUAAGGAUAUUAAAAAGGGCAAACAAUCCCACGGUGAUUCAGAAGAUGAUCUCCCCAGUAAGGUGGAACACCCACUGUGCCCUGUUUUAAUUGCUAGCACAUUCAGCAGAUAAACAAACUUAAUGAUUUCACAGGCAUUUCACUGGUCACGGUGAUGUGUUGCAAAGGGCUCAGAUUAAACAUGGAAAAUGUAACUUUGUUGAAGGUGAGGCUAAUAACUAGUUAUUAAAAAAAUGCCUACUGUAUAACACAGUGGUAAUCAAAAUCAGUGGGACAAAUAAAAGUGUUUUGAUAUUUUGUCUAGUAUAGCUCUUUUCAUAGAUUCAUAAAAUCACAGAAUGGUUUCGGUUGGAAGGGACCUUAAAGAUCAUCUAAUUCCAACCCCCUGGUAUGGGCAGGGACACCUCCCACUGGAUCGGGUUGCCCAAAGCCCCACCCAGCCUGGCCUUGAGCACUUCUAGGGAUGGGGCAUCCACAGCUUCUCUCAGCAACCUGUUCCAGUGAGGAACAUCACUUAUAUUUUUAGAUCUUUUAGAUGCUUGAAAAUACAGAGUGUUAAUUUCAAGUGUGAUUAAAUAAAAACUAAUAUGUGGUGGUAGUUUCCAUUCUGGAAAGGGAACUCUAUGACUUGAAUUCAUAGUGAAGACAGUUACCCCUGACCAUGAUCUCUAACAUGCUCCUAUCACUCCUGUUCCUCUGGAAAUAUCCCAUGGAAUUG